AUGCUUGUUGAGACAAACAAGCAUGAACAAUAUCAUAUUGUUUACAAGCUUCUUAAGUUGGUAUUGAUUCUGCCAGUAGCUACUGCUAGUGUUGAAAGGGUGUUCUCUUCAAUGAGCCAUGUGAAGAAUAAGCUAAGGAACAAAAUGGGUGAUGAAUAUUUGAACAAUUGUUUGGUUACAUUUGUUGAGAGAGAAUUUUUCAAUCAAGUGAAGGAUGAAGAUGUCAUCAAUCUCUUCCAAAAAGGCGCCCGCAAAAUUAUAUUGUAA
rnacentral:rRNA from 1 species